rnacentral:rRNA from 1 species
GACGAAGGUGGCGAGCGUUACUCGGAAUUACUAGGCGUAAAGCGUGGGCAGGCGGUUCGAUAAGUCUGUUGUGAAAGCUCCCGGCUUAACCGGGAGAGGUCAAUGGAUACUGUCGAACUUGAAUAUGGGAGAGGUGACUGGAAUUCCUGGUGUAGCGGUGAAAUGCGUAGAGAUCAGGAGGAACACCAAUGGCGAAAGCAGGUCACUGGACCAUUAUUGACGCUCAUCCACGAAAGCUGGGGGAUCAAAC